AUAAAAGAUGAUGGCAACAGAGGCUUGUAACUGCAGUCACCAGCUUGUGCUCUAAAGUCAAUUGACUGGAAUGCUGAGAAGGUUGUGCCUGUCAUCAAACUAUGUGACUCUAUCCAGAGUAAGGACAAAAUACGGUGCCUCUCUGCUACCUCUUCAAGCACUAGGGAAUAGAUCUUCACUAAAUGCCACAAUACUUCUCAGCAGCCACAAUCUCACUACCCAUGAAGCUUGCAAAGGAAAACUAAUUGGUAUGAGGGUAUCAUGCCAGAGCAGCAUUCAGUGAGAAAUAAGGAACACACCUGAAGUACUGAGGGAAGCAGACUAGAUAGAACUGGCAUGUACCUGCUUGAAAUAAAGCAGCCAUAUUUCACA
rnacentral:lncRNA from 1 species